rnacentral:tRNA from 1 species
GCGGGAGUAGUUCAGUGGUAGAACGUCUCGUUGCCAACGAGAAGGUCGCCGGUUCAAAUCCGGUCUCCCGCUCCA